AGUGAACGCUGGCGGUAGGCCUAACACAUGCAAGUUGAACGGCAGCCCAGUACGUGCUUGCUCUCACGGGUGCCGAGUGGCGGACGGGUGAGGAAUACCUCGGAAUCUACUUUUUCGCGGGGGAUAACGAAGGGAGCCUUACGCUAAUACCGCCUACGACCUACGGGUGAAUGCAGGGGAUCUUCGGCCCUCGCCCGAUUGAAUGAGGCGAUGUCGGAUUAGCUAGUUGGCGGGGUAAAGGCCCACCAAGGCGACGAUCCGUAGCUGGUCUGAGAGGAUGAUCAGCCACACUGGAACUGAGACACGGUCCAGACUCCUACGGGAGGCAGCAGUGGGGAAUAUUGGACAAUGGGCGCAAGCCUGAUCCAGCCAUACCGCGUGGGUGAAGAAGGCCUUCGGGUUGUAAAGCCCUUUUGUUAGGAAAGAAAAGCAGCAGGUUAAUACCCCGCUGUUCUGACGGUACCCAAAGAAUAAGCACCGGCUAACUUCGUG
rnacentral:rRNA from 1 species